AUUGAACGCUGGCGGCAUGCUUUACACAUGCAAGUCGAACGGUAACAGGCCGCAAGGUGCUGACGAGUGGCGAACGGGUGAGUAAUGCAUCGGAACGUGCCCAGUCGUGGGGGAUAACGCAGCGAAAGCUGCGCUAAUACCGCAUACGAUCUAUGGAUGAAAGCGGGGACCGAAAGGCCUCGCGCGAUUGGACCGGCCGAUGUCAGAUUAGGUAGUUGGUGGGGUAAAGGCCCAACAAGCCAACGAUCUGUAGCUGGUCUGAGAGGACGACCAGCCACACUGGGACUGAGACACGGCCCAGACUCCUACGGGAGGCAGCAGUGGGGAAUUUUGGACAAUGGGCGCAAGCCUGAUCCAGCAAUGCCGCGUGCAGGAAGAAGGCCUUCGGGUUGUAAACUGCUUCUGUACGGAACGAAACGGUCCUGGUUAAUACCUGGGGCUAAUGACGGUACCGUAAGAAUAAGCACCGGCUAACUACGUGCCAGCAGCCGCAGUAAAAC
rnacentral:rRNA from 1 species